CUGGAUCUGCUUUCCCCAUGGCUGGAGCCUUACAAACCACCUUCUCCUGUGCAGAACAGAGCCUGCCGUCUCACCUGGUCCCAGGGCUUCAGUGACAGCACGUUGCUGAUGCUGAAAGUGAUGGCUUAACAGAGACACAAGGAGCUGGAGCUGUCAAGGAAAGACCUGAAAUGGAGUUGGGAGGUAAAGAAAGAACAGGAAAAGGCAGGGCAAACAGGGAGUGGGCAGAACCGGAAAUGUUAUCUACCAUUCAAAGAUGGGACAGGAAGAAGUCGGGUCAGAGGAAGGAAUCAGAAUGGAAGUUUGUAGUUAGGAGGCUUUAAAGUUGGGUAAAGAAGGACAGAAGAUAGGGUGAAGGAGCAGUCUGAGUUCUCACAGCUACAAGGGUGCUGCUGACUUUGAAGCCGCUGUUUAGGGCUGACCCAGCUCCCCUAAGCUUUGCAGUUAUCUCAGGAGCAGCUUCUCCAGCCCUGCAUCCAUUUCGCAGGUUUAAAGGCUUCAGUCCUCCUGAUGUUCCCUCCAAAGGAUGACGCAUUCCCACGUUGUUUCCUUUUGUUGUCGUGUUCCUUUCUUGAUGCUAAUUAUUUGACCGUCAUUUUGCAGGAACUGAAGUGGAGGCGUGUCAUCGGACUUAGAAGGGUACCAGGAUCUAAAGUGUAGGGGUUGUGCUCAAAACAUGCACAGCACAGAGAUCACCGAUGAUGAUGCUCUCAGUGUCUGCCCUUGGGCUCCCAGAGCUGGUAUUUUGAUCUCUGGGCUUUACAGCUUAAAAUGCAAGAGUGGUACUACCUGGAGUGGGGUGUACUGAGAAGGGGAGUCUCUCAAACUCAGUUAUGAAUACAACAGAAAGCCCAGAGAGAAUAAUGACGUGAAAAAACGUACGGCAGAGAAGAAGCCAAGGAUGUAAACAUGGAGGAGUGAGUAGUGGCAUGAUGGAUGCACAUCAUCCUGUACACCAGAGGGGCAAAGUGCCUGCUGGAGAAGCAGUGCGCUCACAUGUAGCAAUAAUGUGAAUCCAGGCAUCUGCCAGGUUGGUGACUGAAGGAAGAGGCCAGCAUUUCCCAACUUCUGAGCUGGCUGCGCAUCCUUGAUGGUUGCAGCCAUUUGUUCUCUUCUUCUGUGAUAAUUGUAUGUCAUUUCUUUACAUGGUUCGCUGCACAAAAUGACUUCAUGUACUCGCCUGAGCUGUGCUUUGUUGUAUUUUGUUUAAAUAUGCAAAAUUGUAUGCAAC
rnacentral:lncRNA from 7 species